AUGCUUUCGUCCCUCACUUCAUUCUUUCCUAUGAUAUCCCCAAGAGCUGAGUCAAUAGCACCUGGGGGCAUAGCAUUUGCCUAUUUCCGCGAAAGCCUGAUCCGUGCGCUGAUCCUUCUUUCUAUAGUAGGAAGACAAGAUCUCAAGGGAAUCACAAGUUCCAUGGGUAAACCGAAUCCGGGUAUACCUAGCCAACAACCAACAUCAGCUUCUAGGGAGAGUCUACUUCGCCAGUGCCGCCCUCGUCCAUCUACUAAGAAGGAAGCUGACUCUUUGUCAAAGAAUUUAAGAUCCGGGGCAUCCACUUCGGGUUCAUAUUUUCAAGUUUGUUGA